UUAUGAUUAGUUUUUGAUUAGCAACAAAGAAGGAUGCAAAUUUAUGAAACAGAUUUCUGAUGUCUGUCCAGAAUGUAGGUAAAACUAUCCAAUGAGCAUACAUGAUUUUUAAGCGAUACAUUUUCUGAAUCAUUGGAUGAUCAAUUCGUUUAGUCUUUCUUGUACUUAUCAUAUUGUGGAUUUCAUAUAAUGCUUUACUGUGCAAAAAAAAACCUUUUUUAAAACAAUUUGAAGCACAUGAAAUAACAUUUGACCAUAUUGUAUGAGAGUUUGCGUAUAGUUUUGGUAGAACACUUUCUUACAAUUACUGCUUACAUGUAACCUUAGAUUGAUCAGCACAGAAUGGAGAUGAACACAUUUUAAAAUGGUUAGAAACAUAACAAAGUAAUGUUGACAGAGGAUUUAUUUCAUUUGUCACCUGCUUACAAUCUCAACAGGUGUUAAUUUUUCAAUGCAUCAUAAAAACUUAAUAAUUUGGUCCUUAAAGAUAGCAAUAGCAAAAAAACGCUUACAGUGGAAUUUCUUAAAGGUUUCAUUUUUAAAAUAUAUAUAAUCAUCUGAUUUCCCAUAAAUACUGUGAACAUAAAUACACCAUUGUUUUUAUUAGACAUAUACAUGAAUAAUGCAUAUAACACAGGGCCAUCUUAAAUAAUACAGAUCUAGUUAAUGUGAUUGACAUAGCACUGAGGUAAUAACAGAAAAAAUAACUGUUGCAGAAGGAUAAUAGAUCACAUUGCUCACCUGAACAACAAUGACCAAAACAGGUAAGUACAAACAAGAAGCCCAUGGGCCACAUUGCUCACAUUAACAAUAUAAUGACCAAAAUAACUAGCUUAGGCCUAACCACUGUGACUAAGCCCAGAUCACUAAUACCAAAAAAGCACUAUAUCAUAAACAUAAACUUUGAUUCUAAAUUAUUGUUUUCAAAAAAAAAUUUUUUUUCUUUAUGAUCUACAUUUAUUUUUAUAUUUCAAAAUUUUUACCAUCUUCUGUGUCCUUUUUAAGCCCAAAGGAGGCAGACAUUAACUCUGAGGUUGAAAAGAAUUAAAAACCAAAAUUUGAAAAAGAUUUGCCAGAACUAACCUGUACAUGCAUGCAGUUAGAUGCCAUACAAACUUUGACCAGAAGAGUUCAAGGGCUAAAAACAAAUCAAGACUGUAACAUACAAAUCCAGUUGGAUAAAAUGCAUUCUCAAAGACUGGGGAAAAAUCUGCAGAAUAACUUAUCAGCAAAUAUCAACACAAAUGAAUACCAAUAUAAGACAUUGUGAAAAAUGUGGAUCCAAACUCUUGAAAAAAAUUACUCAAAUCUAAAAUUCAGGCAUAUUACUGAGUACUCAAUUCAGUCAAAGGAAGAAUAUACAGUUUUACAUAUAUCUAUUAAUUUAGAAGUGAUAGCUACCAAAAUUUGUAAUAUCUAAUCAAUGGGCAAGACGUGUACAUGUAUUUGAACUACAUGUACUUGAAAAUAAAUUCUCUAACAAAACCAAAAACAAAACCAAAAAUAAAAAUACCCUCUUAAACCAGUUACAAAAAUAAGCAUGUAUUGUACAUUUACACUGGUGUUUGGCCAAUACUUGACAGUUACCUGAUUUUUAAGGCAUAUUGUUCAAUCAUACACAUCUAAAUACAAGUUACAAUGAUAUAAGAAACAUAAAGACGGUACAUUGAGACACUGACAAAGACAGUUGCAUUGAAAAUUGCAGAGCAUGUAGGAUAAUUGGAUAUGAUUGUAUGAAUAACUCACAGUGGGCUGUAAGCUGGUAUUUACAGUACGAUAAAAUGGCACA